rnacentral:rRNA from 1 species
CAGCCGCCGCGGUAAUACGUAGGUGGCAAGCGUUGUCCGGGAUUAUUGGGCGUAAAGCGCGCGCAGGUGGUUUAAUAAGUCUGAUGUGAAAGCCCACGGCUCAACCGUGGAGGGUCAUUGGAAACUGUUAAACUUGAGUGCAGGAGAGAAAAGUGAAAUUCCUAGUGUAGCGGUGAAAUGCGUAGAGAUUAGGAGGAACACCGGUGGCGAAAGCGGCUCUCUGGUCUGUAACUGACGCUGAGGCUCGAAAGCGUGGGUAGCAAACAGGAUUAGAUACCCGUGUAGUCCCUGUCUCUUAUAC